rnacentral:rRNA from 1 species
GAGUUUGAUCCUGGCUCAGGAUGAACGCUAGCGGCAGGCUUAAUACAUGCAAGUCGAACGGGAUUCAGUGUAGCAAUACAUUGAUGAGAGUGGCGCACGGGUGCGUAACGCGUAUGCAACCUACCUUUAACAGGAGAAUAGCCCCGAGAAAUCGGGAUUAAUACCCCGUAACAUUGCGAUGUGGCAUCACAUUGCAAUUAAAGAUUUAUCGGUUAAAGAUGGGCAUGCGUGACAUUAGCUAGUUGGUGAGGUAACGGCUCACCAAGGCAACGAUGUCUAGGGGUCCUGAGAGGGUUAUCCCCACACUGGUACUGAGACACGGACCAGACUCCUACGGGAGGCAGCAGUAAGGAAUAUUGGUCAAUGGGCGCAAGCCUGAACCAGCCAUGCCGCGUGCAGGAAGGCGGCCCUAUGGGUUGUAAACUGCUUUUGUCAGGGAAUAAACCUUUGUACUUGAUACAGAGCUGAAGGUACCUGAAGAAUAAGCAUCGGCUAACUCCGUGCCAGCAGCCGCGGUAAUACGGAGGAUGCAAGCGUUAUCCGGAUUCAUUGGGUUUAAAGGGUGCGCAGGCGGAUUGAUAAGUCAGGGGUGAAAUCCCACAGCUCAACUGUGGAACUGCCUUUGAUACUGUCAAUCUAGAGUAUAGUUGAAGUUGGCGGAAUGUGUCAUGUAG